rnacentral:sRNA from 1 species
CUUGUUGCCGGAAGUGGGAAGAGAGAAAGGUUGUGAUGGCGGCUAUCGCUGCAUCCGAGGUGCUGGUGGACAGCGCGGAAGAGGGGUCCCUCGCUGCGGCGGCGGAGCUGGCCGCUCAGAAGCGCGAACAGAGACUGCGCAAAUUCCGGGAGCUGCACCUGAUGCGGGUGAGUAGUCUUGGAGGCCGGCUCAGAUCCGUCACCUGGCCAAGCCUGUGCGCUUUUGUAGAGGGGACGAGGAAGCCACACCACUGCAUCUGACAGACCAACAGAGCAGGAUCAUCUGAGAGGAAAGCUCUGUUCGGUGGUACUCAACCCUGGCAGCACAUUGGGAUCAUUCUGAGAACAUUUGAAAAUAUAACUGUUCACUCCAGCCCCCCUCCCACCCACAUCCAAUUUAAUGUAUCUGGGUUAGGUUUGGGAGUCUCCAUUACUAACAACCUCCCUGCUCCGUGAUUCUAACAAAUUCUUCAUUUUACCUAGGGAAAUAUGUAGAGCUAGAGACAGGAAGAAACUUGUCUAGUGUCAGUAAGAGACCUGGUUCACUUUAAAAAAUAAUAAUCUUCUGUCAGAAUCUGUUUGAGUGAAAAGAAAAUAAUCAUCUGUUUUUAGGACUUCUGGGGGAAAAGAAUAAAAAUAAAAAAAAGUGGCAAACUUUUGAAAGUCUACAGUGUGGUAGUUCAGCCAGUUGAUAGGGAAUCGGAUGUUUAAGUGCCCUGGAAGUGCAGAGGAGGAGAGAGGAAUGCAGUUUGUGGGUCUCCAGGGGGUGCCUCAUGUAGUAGGUGACACCUAAACUACUGUUUGAAAGCCAGACAACUAAAGGAGUUAGAGAAAGAGAUAUCCAAGCAAAGGGAACAAAUUCAAAGAAAGAGAAUUUGUAUUAGGGAUAAGAGUCCAGCAAAUAGCUUGCUGCAGUUGGAGCAGAGAAAGAGAAAAGCAGCCCCUGUUUCACCGUGGAGUGACCUGACAGCUAGGCCAUGGUUUCACAAAACCCCAAAAUCACUCUGACUGUUGUAGUAAGACAAAACAAAGAAGACUUUUCAAAUCACAAGAAUGACCACAUAUUUCUUUCUUCUGGCUAACAUCAGUGACUAACAAAUACAGCAUUAGUCUCACUCUGUUACUUCUGCCUCCUAUAUAAAAAUGUAAAAUACUGGGCUGGGCGCGGUGGCUCACGCCUGUAAUCCCAGCACUUUGGGAGGCCGAGAAGGGCAGAUCACAAGGUCAGGAGAUCAAGACCAUCCUGGCUAACACGGUGAAACCCCGUCUCUACUAAAAAUAGAAAAAAAUUAGCCGGGCGUGCUGGUGGGCGCCUGUAGUCCCAGCUACACGGGAGGCUGAGGCAGGAGAAUGGCGUGAGCCCGAGAGUCAGAGCUUGCAGUGAGUCGAGAUCACACCACUGCACUCCAGCCUGGGCGACAGAGCGAGACUCUGUCUCAAAAAAAAAAAAAAAAAAAAAAAAAUCUAAGGUACCUAAUUGUAGAAAGCCCCUGCUUUCUGACAGUACCCAAUCCACAUCCUUAACCCUCCCCUCAGUCACCUGAUACAAACCCAAAUCCUGGAACAAGCCCUUCCUAACACCCUGUCACUCAAAUGCCCACGGUUCCCUGUGGUUUGCUCUCUUCUGUGCAACAGACUCAACUUUGUUGACCAUAGGUGUGUUCUUGGUGUCUUUAAUUGCAGGGCUCUUCCAGGGCCAAGAAUAUACUAGGGAUGGUAGUUGGGAGGAGUAUCUCUCUUUGCCGAGGGAAAGUUAAUCUAAUAAACAAUUAAAAAGACAUGCUUAAAUAUUUAGAGUGAUUGUGUAAGGAACACAUGUCUGGAAAUUAGGAGGUGGGGCUUCCUGGACAAACUGCCACCAGCUUAUGACCUAAGGAAUGUCUAACUCAAGUUUUCCUUAAGACGAUACACUCAUUUUGCUUUAUGCAAUUAAAUUUAUUUAAAAAUAGACUCUUCUCCCUGCUACCCCAGCUC